CGCAUGAGUACGAACGCCUUCUCACGAUCUCCAUGCGCUGCAAAAAUAUUUCGCGUGAUUCCGAAUACCAGUCAAUAAAUUCCCUUAUGCAGCAGUGCCGUAAUGGAUCAGCGCUAUCAUUCCAUCAAAGAAGUGCAAUAACUAGAACCCGUGACCGUGAGGGAUCGCACGUUUGGGAAGAAUGCGUUUCUUGCAACCGCUGGCAAAUCAGUUUGUUUUGAAACGUCGGGGAGCGAGGACGAGUCAGCUCGGUCUUUGAAGAAACUCGUUCGACGCUUUGAAGACUGGAGCCAUUUAAGUGGUCCUGAACAGCGACAGGCUGGACACAACGACUGAGGGACGGAGACAACGAACUUUGCGCUUCAUGCACAAACAUUGAUGCGUGAAUUAGAGAAGCCUAGAUUGCACUUUAUACCUGGAUUACUCAAGCAAGUUACGUCCCGGCGAUGUCGUAAAUGGGUGAGUCAAUCAUCAUCCUGUGGUUGGGGUCAAAAAUAAAGUUGUUGUUAUUUGUGGUUUGUGUUACGUUCUGCGGAAGAAACGGAAGUUGGGGAAGAACAGCAAUCCAAAGGUGUGGAAGAGAUAAAGAAGCGUGACCACGGAGCAGCUGCAAUGGUGAAGGAGAGAUGCAGUGGUCAGCGUUCAUCCAUGUGCGUUGUGCCCCGUGUGUUCGGCGUUUGUGCAUCAUGAUAAUGCACGCUCGCGAUGGACAAGCAUCACCCCUUAAAUGGAUGUAAUUUUCGAAUAAAGGUAUUUGU